rnacentral:misc_RNA from 1 species
GCCUGUUCCAGGCUUUGCUUCAGACGUUGAAGAAAGUAUCAUUGAAGCAUGGUGUUUCUAUAUCAACUGUUGCUGUGAGAUACAUACUGAACCAGACAUCUGUUGCGGGUUCAAUGGUGGGUGUGAGACUGGGACUCUCUGAACACAUAAAAGACACCAACGCCAUCUUCUCGCUUGAAUUAGAUGAAGAGGACAUGAACAGCAUCACUGAAGCAUCGAAUAAGGGAAGAAA